rnacentral:rRNA from 1 species
CUACGGGGCGCUGCAGUAGGGAAUAUUGGACAAUGGGCGAAAGCCUGAUCCAGCAACGCCGCGUGUGCGAUGACGGCCUUCGGGUUGUAAAGCACUUUUAGAGGAGAUGAGAAAGGACAGUAUCCUCAGAAUAAGCCUCGGCGAACUACGUGCCAGCAGCCGCGGUAAAACGUAGGAGGCAAGCGUUAUCCGGAUUUAUUGGGCGUAAAGCGCGUGCAGGCGGUCUAGCAAGUUAGAUGUGAAAGCUCCCGGCUUAACCGGGAGAGGUCGUUCAAUACUGUUAGACUAGAGAAUGGGAGAGGGAGGUGGAAUUCUGGGUGUAGUGGUGAAAUGCGUAGAUAUCCAGAGGAACACCAGUGGCGAAAGCGGCCUCCUGGACCAUUUCUGACGCUAAGACGCGAAAGCUAGGGUAGCAAACGGGAUUAGAUACCCCAGUAGUC